UAUGGCGACCGGCGCACGGGUGAGUAACACGUAUCCAACCUGCCGAUGACUCGGGGAUAGCCUUUCGAAAGAAAGAUUAAUACCCGAUGGCAUAGUUCUUCCGCAUGGUAGAACUAUUAAAGAAUUUCGGUCAUCGAUGGGGAUGCGUUCCAUUAGGUUGUUGGCGGGGUAACGGCCCGCCAAGCCUUCGAUGGAUAGGGGUUCUGAGAGGAAGGUCCCCCACAUUGGAACUGAGACACGGUCCAA
rnacentral:rRNA from 1 species